rnacentral:rRNA from 1 species
UACGAAGGGGGCUAGCGUUGUUCGGAAUUACUGGGCGUAAAGGGCGCGUAGGCGGUUUGAUUAGUCAGAUGUGAAAUUCCCGGGCUUAACCUGGGCGCUGCAUUUGAUACUGUCAGGCUUGAAUUCAGGAGAGGAUAGCGGAAUUCCCAGUGUAGAGGUGAAAUUCGUAGAUAUUGGGAAGAACACCGGUGGCGAAGGCGGCUAUCUGGACUGACAUUGACGCUGAGGCGCGAAAGCGUGGGGAGCAAACAGGAUUAGAUACCCUGGUAGUCCACGCCGUAAACGAUGAGUGCUAGACGCUGGUAGGUUUACCUAUCGGUGUCGCAGCUAACGCAUUAAGCACUCCGCCUGGGGAGUACGGUCGCAAGAUUAAA